rnacentral:rRNA from 1 species
UACAGAGGGUGCAAGCGUUUAAUCGGAAUUACUGGGCGUAAAGCGUGCGCAGGCGGUUUUGUAAGCCAGAUGUGAAAUCCCCGGGCUUAACCUGGGAAUGGCAUUUGGGACUGCAAGGCUCGAGUGCGGCAGAGGAGACUGGAAUUCCUGGUGUAGCAGUGAAAUGCGUAGAUAUCAAGAGGAACACCAGUGGCGAAGGCGAGUCCCUGGACGAUACCUGACACUGAGGCACGAAAGCUAGGGGAGCAAACAGG